AUUGAACGCUGGCGGCAGGCCUAACACAUGCAAGUCGAACGGUAGCACAGAGAGCUUGCUCUCGGGUGACGAGUGGCGGACGGGUGAGUAACGUCUGGGAAACUGCCCGAUGGAGGGGGAUAACUACUGGAAACGGUAGCUAAUACCGCAUAACGUCGCAAGACCAAAGUGGGGGACCUUCGGGCCCCACACCAUCGGAUGUGCCCAGAUGGGAUUAGCUAGUAGGUGGGGUAAUGGCUCACCUAGGCGACGAUCCCUAGCUGGUCUGAGAGGAUGAACAGCCACACUGGAACUGAGACAAGGUCCAGACUCCUACGGGAGGCAGCAGUGGGGAAUAUUGCACAAUGGGCGCAAGCCUGAUGCAGCCAUGCCGCGUGUAUGAAGAAGGCCUUCGGGUUGUAAAGUACUUUCAGCGGGGAGGAAGGCGGUGAAGUUAAUAACUUCACCGAUUGACGUUACCCGCAGAAGAAGCACCGGCUAACUCCGUGCCAGCCGCCGCCGUAA
rnacentral:rRNA from 1 species